UAAUACGAAGGGGGCUAGCGUUGCUCGGAAUUACUGGGCGUAAAGGGCGCGUAGGCGGACAGUUUAGUCGGGGGUGAAAGCCCGGGGCUCAACCUCGGAAUUGCCUUCGAUACUGGCUGUCUUGAGUGCGGGAGAGGUGUGUGGAACUCCGAGUGUAGAGGUGAAAUUCGUAGAUAUUCGGAAGAACACCAGUGGCGAAGGCGACACACUGGCCCGUUACUGACGCUGAGGCGCGAAAGCGUGGGGAGCAAACAGGAUUAGAUACCCUGGUAGUCCACGCCGUAAACGAUGAGUGCUAGUUGUCGGCAUGCAUGCAUGUCGGUGACGCAGCUAACGCAUUAAGCACUCCGCCUGGGGAGUACGGUCGCAAGAUUA
rnacentral:rRNA from 1 species